CUACCCUCAGCUCUAGUGCUCUACAUCCUCCGGAAGUUGCCUCCCAAGAGAGUAUCAGCGCAAUAUCACCCGAUUCGUUAACUGCAAUGUUUCUUUAUUCUAUUGUAUUUUCCCCACAGGAAAUGGUUUUUCAUGGUUCGAAGUAGGUGAUAUUGGAGCAGGUCAGAGCCAGAAAAACAAAUCCAGACUAUUCUGGUAUGGCUCAAGAUAGC
rnacentral:misc_RNA from 1 species